rnacentral:rRNA from 1 species
CAGGCCUAACACAUGCAAGUCCAGCGCGAAARCACCCUCGGGUGCGAGUAGAGCGGCGGACGGGUGCGUAACGCGUAGGAAUCUGCCUGGUAGUGGGGGAUAACUCGGGGAAACUCGAGCUAAUACCGCAUACGCCCCAUGGGGGAAAGCGGGGGACCUUCGGGCCUCGCGCUAUCAGAUGAGCCUGCGUCGGAUUAGCUAGUUGGUAGGGUAAUGGCCUACCAAGGCGACGAUCCGUAGCUGGUCUGAGAGGAUGAUCAGCCACACUGGGACUGAGACACGGCCCAGACUCCUACGGGAGGCAGCAGUGGGGAAUAUUGCACAAUGGGCGAAAGCUGAUGCAGCAACGCCGCGUGAGGGACGACGGCCUUCGGGUUGUAAACUCUUUUAGCAGGGAAGAAGCGAAAGUGACGGUACCUGCAGAAAAAGCACCGGCUAACUACGUGCCAGCAGCCGCGGUAAU